GAUGAACGCUGGCGGCGUGCUUAACACAUGCAAGUCGAACGGUGAAGGAGAGCUUGCUCUCUGGAUCAGUGGCGAACGGGUGAGUAACACGUGAGCAAUCUGCCCCUGACUCUGGGAUAAGCGCUGGAAACGGCGUCUAAUACCGGAUACGAGCUGCGAAGGCAUCUUCAGCAGCUGGAAAGAAUUUCGGUCAGGGAUGAGCUCGCGGCCUAUCAGCUUGUUGGUGAGGUAAUGGCUCACCAAGGCGUCGACGGGUAGCCGGCCUGAGAGGGUGACCGGCCACACUGGGACUGAGACACGGUCCAGACUCCUACGGGAGGCAGCAGUGGGGAAUAUUGCACAAUGGGCGAAAGCCUGAUGCAGCAACGCCGCGUGAGGGACGACGGCCUUCGGGUUGUAAACCUCUUUUAGCAGGGAAGAAGCGAAAGUGACGGUACCUGCAGAAAAAGCACCGGCUAACUACGUGCCAGCAGCCGCAGUAA
rnacentral:rRNA from 1 species